GAGGUAUUGGUGUAGUGGCAGCACAAGGGUCUGUGGAGCCCUUAGGAGGGGUUCAAAUCCCCUAUACCUCC
rnacentral:tRNA from 1 species